AGGACUCUUGCCACACCCUGGACUCUCCACAGAUAUAUAUUUUUUUUCCUUUCCUUGCCUAGUUUAUCCAUACCUCACAACCUCUGAGGAUGCCUGCCAUAGAUGUGGGCGAAACGUCAGGAGAGAAUACUUCUGGAACAUGGCCACACAGCCCGAAAGACAUACAACAACCUUGUGAUCCCAGCCAUGAAAGCCUUCGACAACACAUCUUCUGAGGUGUACCGUACAACUAGAGUUUCCACUUCAGGAUUGUCAAAGACACUGAGGAUUCCAGUCCAAAACGUUACACCUACAGACAGCCCCUGUUUGGAAGUUAAGGCAGAAAUCUUAGCAAAGGGGCUGUUCCCAGAUCAAGGCCAUCCUGGGGCACAUUUUACUAUAGUUUUUCAAUGAAGAUCUCAUCGGAUCUAAACCAAUUCAGCAUCAUUUGUGGCAGUCACAAAAAUACAGUUUCUGGAAUAGAACAACUACUUUCAAAGUAAGUAUCAUACAAUUAAACAGGAGUAACACUUUCAAACCAGGAACAGGAAAUGUUUCCAA
rnacentral:lncRNA from 11 species